GCGCCCGUAGCUCAGCUGGAUAGAGCACCAGGCUUCGAACCUGGGUGUCGGCCGUUCGAAUCGGUCCGGGCGUACCA
rnacentral:tRNA from 1 species